GGCCCUCCUCCUGCUGGCACCCAGCAGCACCCAGGCUCUGAGCAGCUCCUGGUGGAAGGACCUGGCCACGGAGCAGGAUUUGGCUGAGGAAAGCAUCCUGGGCAUAGGAGCACCAGAGGAGGGUGAACCAGGUAUAAAGGUCUUCUCCAGCAGUGCCUGGGCUCGGAGGGGCCCACCCCAAGGCCAGGCAAGACCAGAAGGGGAUCGUGACCACCUGUACCACCCCCAAGAGGAUGCCAGGGAGGCCAGUGCCCGUGUGCCAUUCUGGAUGCCGGCCCCGAAGGUGCAGAAUGGCCCGGAGGAGGAUCGUGACCACCUGUACCACCCCCAGGAUGAUGCCAGGGAGGUCAAUGCCCGUGUGCCAUUCUGGAUGAUGGCCCCAAAGGUGCAGAAUGGCCCGGAGGAGGAUCGUGACUACAUCCACCACAGCUGAGUGGAGAUGCGCCCAGGCUGUGAAAUGAGGGGUGGGAGCUGCCCCUGGGGUUUCCUGGGGAAAUUUGUCUCUCCCUACUGAGCCUCGAGCCUCACCAAUAAACCCACUCCCCUCUCCACGUCCUGCUGGGCUCCUCAUUGCUGCCAGAAACCUGCUGCUAAUGGCAGGGCCUCCAAACCUGCAGGAACUCCCUCAGGAUUACCCCAAGGCACCAGGCAGGCUGAGGAUGAUGCCCUGGGGCAGGAGACUCAGCCCAUCAUCCCAGCCUCAGUUCAGCCCAGGUGAGGCUGAGGCAAACUCAGGACAUCGGUGUUGUGCCUCAGAAGGUGCCACAGGCUGUCCCCUUC